UGCGUAGGGGGCUAGCGUUGUCCGGAUUUAUUGGGCGUAAAGAGCGUGUAGGCGGCCAGGUAGGUCUGGUGUGAAAACUCGAGGCUCAACCUCGAGACGCCGGUGGAAACUGCAAAGCUAGAGUCCGGAAGAGGAGAGUGGAAUUCCUGGUGUAGCGGUGAAAUGCGCAGAUAUCAGGAAGAACACCCGUGGCGAAGGCGGCUCUCUGGGACGGUACUGACGCUGAGACGCGAAAGCGUGGGGAGCGAACAGG
rnacentral:rRNA from 1 species